rnacentral:rRNA from 1 species
AACGAACGCUGGCGGCAUGCCUAACACAUGCAAGUCGAACGAGACCUUCGGGUCUAGUGGCGCACGGGUGCGUAACGCGUGGGAACCUGCCCUUAGGUUCGGAAUAACUCCCCGAAAGGGGUGCUAAUACCGGAUAAUGUCUUCGGACCAAAGAUUUAUCGCCUUUGGAUGGGCCCGCGUUGGAUUAGCUAGUUGGUAGGGUAAAAGCCUACCAAGGCGACGAUCCAUAGCUGGUCUGAGAGGAUGAUCAGCCACACUGGGACUGAGACACGGCCCAGACUCCUACGGGAGGCAGCAGUGGGGAAUAUUGGACAAUGGGCGAAAGCCUGAUCCAGCAAUGCCGCGUGAGUGAUGAAGGCCUUAGGGUUGUAAAGCUCUUUUACCCGGGAUGAUAAUGUCAGUACCGGGAGAAUAAGCUCCGGCCAACUCCGUG